GCCGGAAUAGCUCAGUUGGUAGAGCAGAGGACUGAAAAUCCUUGUGUCACCAGUUCAAAU
rnacentral:tRNA from 1 species